rnacentral:rRNA from 1 species
GACGAACGCUGGCGGCGUGCUUAACACAUGCAAGUCGAACGGAAAGGCCCUGCUUUUGUGGGGUGCUCGAUUGGCGAACGGGUGAGUAACACGUGAGUAACCUGCCCUUGACUUUGGGAUAACUUCAGGAAACUGGGGCUAAUACCGGAUAGGAUCUCCUGCUGCAUGGUGGGGGUUGGAAAGUUUCGGCGGUUGUGGAUGGACUCGCGGCUUAUCAGCUUGUUGGUGGGGUAGUGGCUUACCAAGGCUUUGACGGCUAGCCGGCCUGAGAGGGUGACCGGCCACAUUGGGACUGAGAUACGGCCCAGACUCCUACGGGAGGCAGCAGUGGGGAAUAUUGCACAAUGGGCGGAAGCCUGAUGCAGCAACGCCGCGUGCGGGAUGACGGCCUUCGGGUUGUAAACCGAUUUCGCCUGUGACGAAGCGUGAGUGACGGUAAUGGGUAAAGAAGCACCGGCUAACUACGUG